GUUUAAUAAGAAUUUCAGCUUUGGGUGC
rnacentral:piRNA from 1 species